ACUUAUUAUUUUUUUAUUUUGUAAAAAAAAAGUUCACUUAUUUCCUUGCCUUACGAGUGCUUUUAUCAUCAGUGACGGUCAAAAAAACUUGUAUCCACAUGAAAUGAAUCUAAUUCAUAGUUUGAUGUAACAAAAGCUUGAGGAAUCCAUUAACAAUGCGCAUCCAUACCAACACUCAUGCAUACAAGUUCAUCUAUAAAUAUGGAACCUUGGCUUUCAGAAUUCACCAAGGCAGAGAAACAAAAUAAAGAAAAAAGAAGAAGACAACAACACUUUGCAGGUGAAAACGAUGUCAUCUGAGGAAAUGAAGUUAAAAUACAUGAGCCAACAAUCCCCGGAGAAGUCUGACUCUGAAUCAGACAAUGAAGGAACCACCAUGUCAACUCCAGGUUACUCUCAAUUGAUUAACCGCAGUAUCUCAGGCGACUCGUCCGGAUUUGAUAACCCACGCCAUCGUGGGCCUACCUCGAGGGGCAAGAGAACUGGCUGUGGCAAUCGCUACAGCAGCAAAAAUUACCCGCGUUACUAAGCAUAUUUAUAGAUGGGCAGAUGGGUUGGGCUACGUAAAGGGAGAGAUGAAGACAGACCCAUUAGCUAAAGUCACAUAAAUUAAGUAGUAUGUAUGAAUUA